GCAGGGGUGCCCGAGUGGUCAAAGGGGGAGGACUUAAGAUCCUCUGGCGUUAGGCCUUCGGGGGUUCGAAUCCCCUCCCCUGCA
rnacentral:tRNA from 1 species